AGACUGUACCUGGCGAAUAAGCCACGGCUAACUACGUGCCAGCAGCCGCGGUAAUACGUAGGUGGCAAGCGUUGUCCGGAUUUACUGGGUGUAAAGGGCGUGUAGCCGGGUCUGCAAGUCAGAUGUGAAAUCCAUGAGCUCAACUCAUGAACUGCAUUUGAAACUACGGAUCUUGAGUAUCGGAGGGGCAAUCGGAAUUCCUAGUGUAGCGGUGAAAUGCGUAGAUAUUAGGAGGAACACCAGUGGCGAAGGCGGAUUGCUGGACGACAACUGACGGUGAGGCGCGAAAGCGUGGGGAGCAAACAGGAUUAGAUACCCUG
rnacentral:rRNA from 1 species